UUCGCGAUCAGUUCUACUCGAGAUGUUGCGCCUCGCGGUGAUCACGGCGUUGAUCGCGGCGUUGAUCGCGGCGACCUUACAGCAGACCAGUGAGUACAAGUUCAAGUGUGGCGUUCGGCAGUUCAACCUAACUGGGUUGGCCACAAGCCACGACUGGAGCGCGGCCGGCGAUUGGCCGUGGCACGUGGCCGUUUUUGUCCAGCCGGAAGAGGUCGAAGGUCACGUGUGCAGCGGGGUGUUGAUCAGUCUGAAGUUUGCGCUGACGACCGAUGGCUGUGUGACUAAUCGCGAUGGAGUGCAGAGCUGGGCUAAACAUACGACGCUUCAGUUGGGAAGGGAGACGAUCGGCGAGCAAACUCAGCGGUACCAGGUGUUUAGCAUCGAACGGUUUGGCGAUCUAGCACUGUUGAAGUUCAACGAUCUGGAUUUUUUUACGUCGUAUAUUCAACCGAUCUGUAUCAAUCAGGUCGCGAGUGGGAAAGGGAAGUUUGGAACUGUGGUUGGUUGGGACAAGGAGGAUCGACUGACAGGGAUCAAGCUUAAGCUCGUUGGCAAUGAUCAAUGUGAUGAAAAGUCCGACUCUGACGUGUUAUGUCUCAAGAAUGAUCCUAAUAUUUGUGAUGAUGGUGAAAUAGUCUACCUUCGACGGGGAAAUUCCUGGUUCAUGGGUGGUUUUAUGUCCAACUUCUGCGGUACAAACGUUUUAUUCAAUGGUCUGCUCAAAUACGUAUCCUGGAUCCGAAGGAUCACCAAACUUCACUAUCUGGAAGAAUCCGACGAAAGCUGCCAACCGAUCGACGUAGAACCAGAGCCCUUCUACUACCUUUUGAGCCACUUCCCCUCGAGCUGCGGUAAGUACACCAUCAACAAGAUCGCCGGAGGACACGCCGCAAGCGUGUUCGAGUUCCCUGGAUGGCGAUCGUACUGUACCGGGAGGACGGUUCCGACAAGCUAUCUCCGCUCUGCAUGGGAUCGCUGAUCAAUCAGCGCUACGUGAUGACCACGGCGCAGUGCGCCAAUGGAGAUCCGUUCAAGCCUUAUCGAGUCAGACUCGGUGAACACACGAUCGACCAGGAGGAGGACUGCAACGCCAACGGGGGUCGUAACGAGACUCGGCAU